rnacentral:rRNA from 1 species
GAUGAACGCUGGCGGCGUGCCUAAUACAUGCAAGUCGAGCGAACGGACGAGAAGCUUGCUUCUCUGAUGCUAGCGGCGGACGGGUGAGUAACACGUGGGUAACCUACCUAUAAGACUGGGAUAACUUCGGGAAACCGGAGCUAAUACCGGAUAAUAUUUUGAACCGCAUGGUUCAAUAGUGAAAGACGGUCUUGCUGUCACUUAUAGAUGGAUCCGCGCUGCAUUAGCUAGUUGGUAAGGUAACGGCUUACCAAGGCAACGAUGCAUAGCCGACCUGAGAGGGUGAUCGGCCACACUGGAACUGAGACACGGUCCAGACUCCUACGGGAGGCAGCAGUAGGGAAUCUUCCGCAAUGGGCGAAAGCCUGACGGAGCAACGCCGCGUGAGUGAUGAAGGUCUUCGGAUCGUAAAACUCUGUUAUUAGGGAAGAACAUAUGUGUAAGUAACUGUGCACAUCUUGACGGUACCUAAUCAGAAAGCCACGGCUAACUACGUG